UCUACAUUCAAUAAGCGGAGGAAAAGAAACCAACCGGGGAUUGCCCUAGUAACGGCGAGUGAAGCGGCAAGAGCUCAAAUUUGAAAGCUGGCUCCUUCGGGGUCCGCAUUGUAAUUUGCAGAGGAUGCUUCGGAAUCGGCCCCCAUCUAAGUGCCCUGGAACGGGCCGUCAUAGAGGGUGAGAAUCCCGUCUGGGAUGGGGUGUCCGUGCCCGUGUGAAGCUCCUUCGACGAGUCGAGUUGUUUGGGAAUGCAGCUCUAAUUGGGUGGUAAAUUUCAUCUAAAGCUAAAUAUUGGCCGGAGACCGAUAGCGCACAAGUAGAGUGAUCGAAAGAUGAAAAGCACUUUGAAAAGAGAGUUAAAAAGCACGUGAAAUUGUUGAAAGGGAAGCGCUUGCGACCAGACUCGCCCGCGGGGUUCAGCCGGCAUUCGUGCCGGUGUACUUCCCCGCGGGCGGGCCAGCGUCGGUUUGGGCGGCCGGUCAAAGGCCCCUGGAAUGUAACGCCUCUCGGGGCGUCUUAUAGCCAGGGGUGCCAUGCGGCCUGCCCGGACCGAGGAACGCGCUUCGGCUCGGACGCUGGCAUAAUGGUCGUAAGCGACCCGUCUUGAAACACGGACCAAGGAGUCUAACAUCUACGCGAGUGUUCGGGUGUCAAACCCGUGCGCGCAGUGAAAGCGAACGGAGGUGGGAACCCCCCGGGGUGCACCAUCGACCGAUCCUGAUGUCUUCGGAUGGAUUUGAGUAAGAGCGUAGCUGUUGGGACCCGAAAGAUGGUGAACUAUGCCUGAAUAGGGCGAAGCCAGAGGAAACUCUGGUGGAGGCUCGCAGCGGUUCUGACGUGCGAAAUCGAAUCUGUUUCA
rnacentral:rRNA from 1 species